GGCGUGCUUAACACAUUCAAGUCGAACGAUGACGGCCGUGCUUGCACGGUCUGAUUAGUGGCGAACGGGUGAGUAACACGUGAGUAACCUGCCCUCCACUUCGGGAUAACCUCGGGAAAUCGUGGCUAAUACCGGAUAUGAGCACUCAUCGCAUGGUGGGUGUUGGAAAGAUUUAUCGGUGGGGGAUGGACUCGCGGCCUAUCAGUUUGUUGGUGAGGUGAUGGCUCACCAAGACGAUGACGGGUAGCCGGCCUGAGAGGGCGACCGGCCACACUGGGACUGAGACACGGCCCAGACUCCUACGGGAGGCAGCAGUGGGGAAUAUUGCACAAUGGGCGAAAGCCUGAUGCAGCGACGCCGCGUGAGGGAUGACGGCCUUCGGGUUGUAAACCUCUUUCAGUAGGGAAGAAGCGAAAGUGACGGUACCUGCAGAAGAAGCGCCGGCUAACUACGUGCCAGCAGCCGCGGUAAUACGUAGGGCGCAAGCGUUGUCCGGAAUUAUUGGGCGUAAAGAGCUUGUAGGUGGCUUGUCGCGUCUGCCGUGAAAACCCGAGGCUCAACCUCGGGCGUGCGGUGGGUACGGGCAGGCUAGAGUGUGGUAGGGGAACCUGCGGCUGGAUCAC
rnacentral:rRNA from 1 species